rnacentral:rRNA from 1 species
UACGAAGGGGGCUAGCGUUGUUCGGAAUUACUGGGCGUAAAGCGCGCGCAGGCGGCUAUCCAAGUCAGUGGUGAAAGCCCGGAGCUCAACUCCGGAACUGCCAUUGAAACUGUUUAGCUUGAGGACGAGAGAGGUGAGUGGAAUUCCCAGUGUAGAGGUGAAAUUCGUAGAUAUUGGGAAGAACACCGAUGGCGAAGGCGGCUCACUGGCUCGUAUCUGACGCUCAGGCGCGACAGCGUGGGGAUCAAACAGG